AAAACGCUGUACAAAAUAUCGCUGUAUAAGAGGUGCUGUAUAAUUUUUUGAACAGCACAUGUUUAAGCUUUGAUAAAUAUCGGUAUAAAACACGGCGAAUUGACCUGUUUAAGGUCCGUAGACAGAAGGCUUGAACAGGGGGUUGUACAAGAUACCGGCACAUGUAAAGCGCAUGCGUACGCGUGCGCAGUGCUAUGCUAGUGGUCGGAAGAUGGCGUUGCAUGUUCGACUCGGAGACUGCUGCAGUGCACUGGAAAAAUCGUGUUUAAUCUCCGUUUUAGAAAAUGAAAGAUUUGGGGGUGACAAACCUGCUUCAGGAGUGGGACUUCCCACAUUUAGUUCCAAUCUUUAGAGUUAAAUGUUGCAGAAGAUGAGCACCAAGAAGACACCUACUGGAUGCAAUAUUACUCAUCACCUGACAACAUUGUUGUUAAUGUGACGAACCUCGGUACCGAGAUAUGAGUUGACUAGAGGAAACCCGCGACCAAGCACAGCAGAAAUUCUUGACAAAUAUCUACAGCUUUUGGGAAUGAUUGAUCAAGACUUUGAUUUAACAAUUGAUGCAGCUCCUGGUGCCCUUUUCACAAUGUAGCCAAAGUUGUCCAGGCAGACUUUGGAAUUUGCGGAGAAGAUUAAUCCA